rnacentral:lncRNA from 1 species
AUUUCACCCAGGUAAAUAUUUUUAUCUUUAGCAUUCUGCUUCCAAUAUGGUUUUUUUUUUUUUUUUUUAAAAAGGUCGAUGUCCCCCCAAGCUUGAGGGGUGUUCUCAUAAUUUUCUUCAAACAUAGUUAUGGUGUAUUUUAUUUAUCAUUUAAAUAUCAUUAGGAAGAACCAAUCUUUUUCUUGCAAAUGUCUUUGUAAAACUAAUUUCUAAAAUCGUGUGAAGAUGGCUGUAUUCACUACAUAUUAUUUUCUUAUCUUCAUCAUGAAAAUGCUUUAUGUUUCUAAUAGUGCACUCAUAUUUCAAAGGUAACAGCUCCAACCCUCCAAACCUGCGGAAAGGAAUUUUGGAAGGAGCCAGCAGAGGGACCCCUUCAGUAAAAAAUUAAAAAUCAUCCAAAACCCAACUCUUGAAUCAAAACCCACCAGAGUUUUAUUUAGGCACAAGCCCAGAUAGUGUCUAAAGUAGCAAAACACACGAAGUAGCUGUAUUUCCUAUGCAAGACAGUGAGGUUUCAAACAAAAGAAUAAAUUCUCUUUCUGUGUUUGUACAUUUCUAAUAAAAGCUGUAAUAUUUUAAGAUUACCAUUCAAUUACAUAAUAUUGAGGCUGACUGGUACCCCUUUGGUAAAUACCACUGUGUCAGGAUUAGAGUUAAGAAAAUUAUCUGGUUGUAUUUUAUGUUGUUCCCUGAGAGUAAAUAGGAAACUGGGCUGUGACAGGAGCAGAAACUUAUCUCCCAAAGUGUCCCUUCCUUCUCGAAACCCUCGCCUCACGCAGAAUUAAACAGGAUGUCCACCGGAAUGUGACCAUAUGAAAACAACCCCCAGCUGCAGAGAAUGUCUGGUUUCAGAAAGCAUCCUACAAUGCUGGAGCUGAAGCCUGCUGUACACACAGCAAACAAAAAUCAAUGCUUUAUCUCUCCACACUUGGAUAAAAAGGAUAAUAAAGCAGCAGGCUCACAGUGCUGUAUGAUAUUGAUUAUGGAGUCUCUCAAGAUAAAUUACUAAGAUUUAAAGAUUAUUCUUGGUAAGUCAGCACUACAUAUUUUUUUAUCAGUUUUCACAAGACUUUGAGAGAACAUGGGCAUCAGUACAUGAGCUAAAAUACAUUACACUGGGUGUAAUUCCUUGAAAAUCUCUUCAAUGAAAAAUGUACCCAAGGAGCACAUUUAAAAGUGAACUUGUUCCAUAUUUUUUUCUGUAGGGGAAAAUGGUGCAAGUUUUCUGAUCAAAUUCAUUGAUGACACUCCAACACUUGUUCAAUACAUGGAGAGACAUGGAACAGAUUAGCAUUUGCCUGCAGUUUUUAGCAAAAGAGAAAUUUAGGACAAGAGAAAAG